rnacentral:rRNA from 1 species
UACGUAGGGUGCAAGCGUUGUCCGGAGUUACUGGGCGUAAAGCGCACGCAGGCGGUCUGUGAAGUUUGGAGUGACAGUUGGUGGCUCAACCACCAAAGUGCUUUGAAAACUGAUAGACUUGAGGGCUUCAGAGGGACACGGAAUUCCUGGUGUAGCGGUGAAAUGCGUAGAUAUCAGGAGGAACACCUGUGGCGAAAGCGGCGCACUGGACCACAACUGACGCUGAGGCGCGAAAGCUAGGGGAGCAAACAGG